UAUCAUCUGUUUCUUAAAUAUUUAUUGAAUUUGACUUUUAAGUGAAAAGGCUUAAAUAAAACAAAAAGACGAUAAGACCCUAUAAAUCUUUACAAUAAAUAUAUUUUAUAUUUUAGCUUAUAAGUGUAUAAGAAAUAAAAAUAUAGGUUUGUUGCGCUGGGGCGGCGUAGAUAUAUAAAUAAACUGUCUAUAAUUUAAAUACAAUAAUCAUUGCUUAAUACAAAUUGAUCCUUAAAUAGAUUAAAAGAUUAAGAUACUUUAGGGAUAACAGCGUUAUUUUUUUUGAGAGUUCUUAUCGAAGAAAAAGUUUGCGACCUCGAUGUUGAAUUAAAGUAUCUCUAUGGUGUAGCCGCUAUAAGAGAGAGUCUGUUCGACUUUUAAUACUUUA
rnacentral:rRNA from 1 species